rnacentral:rRNA from 1 species
AACGAACGCUGGCGGCAGGCCUAACACAUGCAAGUCGAGCGGGACCUUCGGGUCUAGCGGCGGACGGGUUAGUAACGCGUGGGAACGUGCCCAAAGGUACGGAAUAGCCUCGGGAAACUGAGAGUAAUACCGUAUGUGCCCCUCGGGGGAAAGAUUUAUCGCCUUUGGAUCGGCCCGCGUUGGAUUAGGUAGUUGGUGGGGUAAUGGCCUACCAAGCCGACGAUCCAUAGCUGGUUUGAGAGGAUGAUCAGCAACACUGGGACUGAGACACGGCCCAGACUCCUACGGGAGGCAGCAGUGGGGAAUCUUAGACAAUGGGGGAAACCCUGAUCUAGCCAUGCCGCGUGAGCGAUGAAGGCCUUAGGGUUGUAAAGCUCUUUCAGGGGGGAAGAUAAUGACUGUACCCCCAGAAGAAGCCCCGGCUAACUCCGUGCCAGCAGCCGCGGAAAGUCUAGCAUG